AUUACAUCGUCCUCAAUCUUUUGACAGUGUGCAUUUGUGGGGUGUCUGAAAAUUUAUUUCUGUGGCGGAUGUGCUGCCAUGUCUACUCGCUGCUUAUCUUCUCACCUUUUCAUUGUCCCAUGGAAAUGUGGUCCGACAAAAACAUUAUUAUUAGAUGCAACAAAACAGUAAGCAUACAUGAAGGCGAAGAAGACUGCGAAUCCGAUCAAGACUGCCGCGACCGGGCCCUUGAAGUCGGGAUCAUAUCCAAAGUGGUCUUGAAUAUAUUUCUGGAUUGUCGGCUGUGUCGACAUUCCGGCUACUGUGAUGGUAUUCUGUGCAUCUCCAUACUGCCCGAUGAUCAGCCCGUAUACUGUCCACGCCACGGGGCAUAUCCAGUAGUACCACACCCACCAUUUCGGAAUUUGCUGAGAAUUCAAGUUUUGAAAAAGUUACUGUCGAUGAAUACACAUUUUUAUCUGAUGCCGAUGUUUUUGAGGUGAAAAAUAGCUUACCGGUCGGGGGAUGAAGAAGCCGGAGAAGAGAUUGAAAAGUGCAUAAAAGGCUGCUGCGAAAAUCGCGGCUACUUGGUGGUUCGGCGUGAUGGAAACAGUCAUCAUUCCGUAGUAUGUGAAGUAGAGGAAGGAGAAGAAUGUGACGAAGAAGAACCAGAAGAACUUGGAAGCUGUCCAUUCGAAGCUAACCAUGGCGUACACUAUUAGAGUGUAGUAUGUCGCCUGAAUUAGCACGUAUGGUAUUUCUACGACGACCUGCAUUUCAGACAGCCGAAGAAAUCUUAAAUUCGAGAUGUUCAACACCUGGUUCGAACAGAUUCGAGAAUAUAAGCUUCACCUGUGCCAUGGCAUACGGCAGCGCAGAAUACAUCCCCGCAGCUCUUUCCCUGUAAAACACGGUUCUUUCGACUGCUACGACUGGCUGCACCGUCGAACAGUUGUUGAUUCCGACGAACAACACGGCAGCAUACAUGGCUCCUAUGAUCGUCAAAAGAUCUGUAUCUGUGCUCCUGAACUCGAAAAAAAAAUGGAAUGAGUGAAAUCAGUGAAUACAGCUUAAGGUUGAAAAAGAAGUGUUCUUUGAAAAAAAUGGCGUCGAACUUUUUCGUGCCGACUCUCCAGAAUAUUGUCCCGACAAGAAGCGCACACGCCAAGGUGAAGAAGUAUCGGACAAGAUUAUAAUCCGGACUUCUCCAGUAAGUCCACCAUUGUUUCCAGAGACAGUACUUAAAUUGUCCCCACGUCGAUUGCGAGUAUUGUGUGUUGAAGAACAGGUCUUUUGUUCCUGGAGCCGGCGUGCUCAGCUCGUUUACCAGAUCUUUGUUUCGCCUAGUAUUCCGCGAAGUCCAUUCCGAGCCUAGCUUCUGUCGCCAUCGAGCUAACUUCAAGCAUCCAUGUCGCCGGAUUGUAUUUCUCUUUGAUUUUUGGUAUUCCGGGAAUCGCCUACAUUCGACAGCAGCAUCACUAGUUCUCCCCGUGUCAACCGUAUUCCUCACUGUCCUCAUCACAAUAGCUGCUGCUCUUGCGUCAAGACCAGAAGUUGGCUCAUCCAUGAAAAUAAUCGAAGGAUUGGCGACAAGUUCAACUGCUAUAGUCAAUCUCUUCCUCUGCUCUGUCGACAAUCCAGUAACUCCCGGAAUCCCAACAAUGGCGUCCUUGAGAUUGUCUAGUUCGACGAGCUCCAUCACUUCAUCAACAAAAGCCUGCAGUCGACGUAGCCGAAGGAACGCGGAGUAAAUCAAAGAUUCGCGCACGGUUACUUGAGGUGAGUGAAUAUCAUUUUGUUCACAGUAUCCAGAAAUUCUUGCGAAAGUUUCUUGAUUUUUCGGAAAUCCAGAGAUUCUAAUAUCCCCUUCAAUAUAUCCACCCGUUUUUCGCCCGGCUAAAACAUCCAUUAGCGUAGUUUUACCUGCUCCGCUGAUUCCCAUCAGCGCAGUUAAAAUUCCCGGCCUAAAUGCGCCCGUCACUUCCCUAAGUAGCUGAAGCUUAUCCUCUGUCACACCUUGUUCUUUCAUUUCCUGUGAAAAAACAGAACAAGUUUGUCGUCACGAUAUAAAAAUAGUCGAUUGAGCUAAAAUCAGCGUAAAUUAUUCUCACCGGUGGCAUGUCCACGAGGUAGUUUACGCUGUCGAAAGACAUGGCUAAAGGAGUGAAUGGAAGAACCAUUCCUCUCUUCGGCGCAACUGCUCUCUCUGUCCCGAGAGUCGAGUUGUCGUUUCUACUUAGGCCGUAGACGUUCGAAAGACUGCUCAUACGUUGCGUUACCAUUUCCACUAAAACAAUAAGAAAACAUUCGAUUAGCAUGUACAACGAUAGUAUGAAGUGACAAAUAAAUAUUGUUUCUUACUUGAGUUGUUUCCGUCGGUCAAAGACAGGGAUCGAUGAAAGGAAUCUUUCUUCGACUUUGCUGUUCUAAGUCUCGGCGAUUCAUCCGUACCUUCUUGCUCCGAUUCCAUUUUUCGUGCUUCCUCUUUAGAUAUGAUUGCUUGUGGCUUUCCAAGAGCUGUUGUGUCGUAGGAUAACAAAGAACUUAGCUAUGGAUUACUAACACAGUAGGUUGACUAGAUCAUCGAUACUUACGAUUUAGAUACAUGAGCGAUAGAGUGAAAAGAACAUUGAAGAGUAGUAUGAACCCCGUAAGAGCGCCCACCCCGAUCCAAUACCAGUUUCUGUCGACGAAAAUGUUGAAGUUGUUCAAAACAGCCACCCCUAAUCUUGUAGCAUUGUCUGAGGCCUGGACAAGAUCGAACAUUUUAGUUCGAUUUCCCCCCGUAAAAAUGCAGUCUUUAAUCCAUUGUUUGAAAAUUGAAACUUACCAAUUUGUUCAUCCAUCUUGGCGAGAACAUCUCGUUUUCUGCAACGGCGUAGUACCCGUAGCUCAACGGCGACACCCAAAACCCCCACCCCCACCAGUCCGGGAUCUUGUCUGCAUUCGAAAAUAGCUGUUACGAUAAAUAAUUGAUUUCAUAUUUUUCAUUAUAUUCGAUCACUAACCUCUAGGCAGGAUGAAGCCGCCCAAGAGGAACACGAGCAGCAGCGUAAGCGCACCGCCGGUGUUUGCAAUAAUCAUCGUUCGGCAUAUUCCCGCGGUGAGCCGGAAGAUCCCCGCAGCCAUUUGCUGGAUGACAAAGAUCAGCAGCAGUUGCUUGAAGAAUCUAAAGAUUGUAACAAGAACAUGGUAAGAACACCUCUGUUGUGAUAGAAUUUGAUCCAUUUAUGUGUGUAUAUAUAUACCGGCUAGGUUCGGGGGCGAAUCCAAUCGUGUAGUACGUCGUGACCAUCCAAACGAUCGCUUCGAAGAUCGAGAUCGGAAUUCUCAGCAGAAACGUCGGCAGCGUAAAAGCCCACGGCGGAUGGAAAAGAAGGUCCCGUUGUUUGUAGAAGACGGGAAGUCGUUGUAUCGUGAGGGCAAGCUCGGCGAACCCGUUGAAGGUAUUGCAGAUUAUGCUGAACAAAAGCGCGCCAACGAACACCGCGCCGUCUUGUUCGUUGCGGCUGCGCAUGUGAGUCCGCAAGAACAGAGUCGACGUGAUGACAGCAACGAUGAAUAUCUGCACGGUCUUGAACACGUAGACGAACGAGUUUCGUUUGAUCAACAGCCAUUCCUUGUCGAAGUUCGCCUUCAGGAGCUCCAUUUUUGGGACGGUGUACUUUUCGAACACCAGCGCCGCUUGGUGGCUUCGACUUUUGUCGUAAGGUAUCGAAAGCUCGUUUUCGAGACGUAACCCUACGUGGAAUCGCUUGAAUCGCCUCGCGAAUUCGCUGACCGGACAUCUGAAGCCGCAGCUUUCGAAAAACUCGACGACGUUUUGUCUCGGGCCCUGGUAGACGAUCUGGCCUUCGGAUAAUAAAAUGAUGUCGUCAAAGAGAUCGAAUGUCUCCGGGGCUGGUUGUAGGAGGGACAUGAAAAUCGUGGCCUCAGUAAGGUUCACUAUUUGUUGCAAGCAUUUGACGAUCUGAAAGGUCGUCGAGCUGUCGAGGCCCGUCGAUAUCUCGUCCAUGAAUAGUGUUUUUGUCGGGCCGACGAUCAUUUCUCCUGUAUUACAUUACAUCCUUAGCAGCUCAGAAACUUGGUAGACAUGGACAAUGGUAAGUUUCUUUAACCUUAGAAGUUGCAUUUUAGUUUGUUUGAUUUUUGGUUCUGAAUGCUAGAGAAAUGAUAUCUUUGUAAUUUGUUUA